CCUACGGGAGGCAGCAGUGGGGAAUUUUGGACAAUGGGCGCAAGCCUGAUCCAGCAAUGCCGCGUGAGUGAAGAAGGCCUUCGGGUUGUAAAGCUCUUUUGUCAGGGAAGAAACGGUUGGGGCUAAUAUCCUCGGCUAAUGACGGUACCUGAAGAAUAAGCACCGGCUAACUACGUGCCAGCAGCCGCGGUAAUACGUAGGGUGCAAGCGUUAAUCGGAAUUACUGGGCGUAAAGCGUGCGCAGGCGGUUUUGUAAGUCUGUCGUGAAAGCCCCGGGCUUAACCUGGGAAUUGCGAUGGAGACUGCAAGGCUUGAAUCUGGCAGAGGGGGGUAGAAUUCCACGUGUAGCAGUGAAAUGCGUAGAGAUGUGGAGGAACACCGAUGGCGAAGGCAGCCCCCUGGGUCAAGAUUGACGCUCAUGCACGAAAGCGUGGGGAGCAAACAGGAUUAGAUACCCUGGUAGUCCACGCCCUAAACGAUGUCUACUAGUUGUCGGGUCUUAAUUGACUUGGUAACGCAGCUAACGCGUGAAGUAGACCGCCUGGGGAGUACGGUCGCAAGAUUAAAACGUNAAAGAUUGACGG
rnacentral:rRNA from 1 species